rfam:Triticum aestivum genome assembly, contig: Triticum_aestivum_CS42_TGACv1_scaffold_556966_7AL
UUUAUACUCCCUCCACCCUGAAUUAGUUGUCUUAGAUUUGUCUAGAUACGGGCGUAUCUAGACACGUUUUAGUGUUAGAUACAUCCAUAUCUAGACAAAUCUAAGACAACUAAUUUGGGAUGGAGGUAAUAGUUU